GACGAACGCUGGCGGCGUGCCUAAUACAUGCAAGUAGGACGCAGUUGCGAACGGGUGAGUAACGCGUAGGUAACUGCCUAUUAGAGGGGGAUAACUAUUGGAAACGAUAGCUAAUACCGCAUACUAGUAGAUGGACCUGCGUUGUAUUAGCUAGUAGGUAGGGUAAUGGCCUACCGAGGCGCCGAUACAUAGCCGAGCAGCGUGGGUGAUGGGCCACACUGUGACUGAGACACGGCCCAGACGUCGACGGGAGGCAGCAGUAGGGAAUCUUCGGCAAUGGGGGGAAACCUGACCGAGCAACGCCGGGGGAGUGAAGAAGGUUUUCGGAUCGUAAAGCUAUGUUGUUAAGGAAGCGGUACUUAACCAGAAAGGGACGGCUAACUACGUGCCAGCAGCCGCGGUAAUAC
rnacentral:rRNA from 1 species